CUGGAAAACCCCCCAGAUCCCCUCCAUGGCGGAGGUGACAGCAAUGGUCACUACCACCCUGGACUAUGAGGUGAUCUUAUGGAACCAAACAAAAAUAGGCAAAGGGAGUGAUACAGCGAAAAAGAUUUGGACCACAUACAUAGAGAAGAAAACCCUCCAAGCUGCAGCUAGGGGCACUGCCAACACUGAUACAACUACGUAACAAUAGAACCUCGAUGGUUCAUAGCAGCCACACAAGAC